rfam:Nelumbo nucifera unplaced genomic scaffold scaffold00089, whole genome shotgun sequence
AAACCAUGGUGAGGACACUUCCUAAGUAGUCCCUUAAAUCUCUUCCACGACUCAUAUAAGGUUUCAUUAUCAAAUUGAAAAAAAGUUGCUAUGUCAUUCCUUAAUUU